rnacentral:snoRNA from 15 species
UGUCCGGUGAUGACAUCUAUCUUUGCUCUUCGUGCCUCUCAGGGCCAUGGGCGACACUCUGGCUAGCUCUGGGCUGGGCCGGUUGGGCCAGCGCCUGGGGGCUGAGGGCA